rnacentral:tRNA from 1 species
GCCGGUGUGGCUCAGUGGUUAGAGUUUUCCCCCACUGAAGGGUUCUGGGUUCGAUUCCCAGUCAAGGGCG